rnacentral:rRNA from 1 species
CCUACGGGAGGCAGCAGUGGGGAAUAUUGCACAAUGGGGGAAACCCUGAUGCAGCGACGCCGCGUGAGUGAAGAAGUAUCUCGGUACGUAAAGCUCUAUCAGCAGGAAAGAAAAUGACGGUACCUGACUAAGAAGCCCCGGCUAACUACGUGCCAGCAGCCGCGGUAAUACGUAGGGGGCAAGCGUUAUCCGGAUGUACUGGGUGUAAAGGGAGCGUAGACGGCGCUGCAAGUCCGGAGUGAAAGCGCAUGGCUUAACCAUGGUACUGCUCUGGAAACUGUAGAGCUUGAGUGCGGGAGGGGCAGGCGGAAUUCCUAGUGUAGCGGUGAAAUGCGUAGAUAUUAGGAGGAACACCGGCGGCGAAGGCGGCCUGCUGGACCGUAACUGACGUUGAGGCUCGAAAGCAUGGGGAGCAAACAGGAUUAGAUACCCCUGUAGUC